AUCUGAAUCAAAACUAAGAAAUAAGUUAAAACUUUCAACAACGGAUCUCUUGGUUCUGGCAUCGAUGAAGAACGCAGCGAAAUGCGAUAAGUAAUGUGAAUUGCAGAAUUCAGUGAAUCAUCGAAUCUUUGAACGCACAUUGCGCCCAUUAGUAUUCUAGUGGGCAUGCCUGUUCGAGCGUCAUUUCAACCCUUAAGCCUAGCUUAGUGUUGGGAGACUGCCUAAUACGCAGCUCCUCAAAACCAGUGGCGGAGUCUGUUCGUGCUCUGAGCGUAGUAAUUUUUUAUCUCGCUUCUGCAAGCCGGCCAGACGACAGCCAUAAACCGCACCCUCUCGGGGGGCACUUUUUUAAUGGUUGACCUCGGAUCAGGUAGGAAUACCCGCUGAACUUAAGCAUAUCAAUAAGCGGAGGAAAAGAAACCAACAGGGAUUGCCCUAGUAACGGCGAGUGAAGCGGCAACAGCUCAAAUUUGAAAUCUGGCCUUCUGGUCCGAAUUGUAAUUUGUAGAGGAUGCUUUUGGUUAGGUACCUUUCGAGUUCCUUGGAACAGGACGCCUUAGAGGGUGAGAGCCCCGUACGAUUGGAUACCGAGCCUCUGUAAAGCUCCUUCGACGAGUCGAGUUGUUUGGGAAUA
rnacentral:sRNA from 1 species